GACGAACCGUGCGAACGUUAUUCGGAAUCACUGGGCUUAAAGCGCGUGUAGGCGGGCCGCCGCGUCGGCUGCUGAAAUCCCCCGGCUCAACCGGGGAACGGGCACCGAUACGGGCGGCCUCGUGGGGGGUAGGGGGGUCUAGAACUUCCGGUGGAGCGGUGAAAUGCGUUGAGAUCGGAAGGAACGCCCGUGGCGAAAGCGAGGUCCUGGACGCCUACUGACGCUGAGACGCGAAAGCCAGGGGAGCGAACGGG
rnacentral:rRNA from 1 species